rfam:Schistosoma rodhaini strain Burundi genome assembly, scaffold: SROB_scaffold0010601
GCACUACUGAGGAGUCCCACAAUAGGACGAAACGGCAGUCCAGUUC